GGGGAUUUAGCUCAGUGGCAUAAGCACCUGCCUUGCAAGCAGGUGGUCGUGAGUUCGAUUCCCGGUACCG
rnacentral:tRNA from 1 species